rnacentral:rRNA from 1 species
UACGGGGGGAGCAAGCGUUGUUCGGAUUUACUGGGCGUAAAGGGCGCGUAGGCGGCCUCUGCAAGUCGACUGUGAAAUCUCCGGGCUUAACCCGGAAAGGUCAGCCGAUACUGCAGGGCUAGAGUGCAGAAGGGGCAACUGGAAUUCUCGGUGUAGCGGUGAAAUGCGUAGAUAUCUGGAGGAACACCGGUGGCGAAGGCGGCGUCCUGGACCAACACUGACACUGAUGAGCGAAAGCCAGGGGAGCAAACGGG